GUCUUCUUAGCUCAGUGGUAGAGCGUUGGUCUCGUAAACCAAAGAUCGUGAGUUCAAUCCUCUCAGGAGGCA
rnacentral:tRNA from 1 species